rnacentral:tRNA from 1 species
GCCCAGGUAGCUCAGUCGGUAGAGCAGUGGACUGAAAAUCCACGUGUCGGCAGUUCGAUUCUGUCCCUGGGCACCA